rnacentral:tRNA from 1 species
GGGAUUGUAGUUCAAUCGGUCAGAGCACCGCCCCCUCUACUUUUAUACUAUACUCGGACUCGGACAUAUAUU